rnacentral:misc_RNA from 1 species
UCCGUAGGUGAACCUGCGGAAGGAUCAUUACCAAUUCAACGGUGUGGUCGCGGCCUCCGGGGGCUCCCCCCGGGCGGUAGAGGUAACACUCUUACGCGCCACAUGUCUGAAUCCUUUUUUUACGAGCACCUUUCGUUCUCCUUCGGUGGGGCAACCUGCCGUUGGAACUUAUCAAAACCUUUUUUUGCAUCUAGCAUUACCUGUUCAGAUACAAACAAUCGUUACAACUUUCAACAAUGGAUCUCUUGGCUCUGGCAUCGAUGAAGAACGCAGCGAAAUGCGAUAAGUAGUGUGAAUUGCAGAAUUCAGUGAAUCAUCGAAUCUUUGAACGCACAUUGCGCCCCUUGGUAUUCCAUGGGGCAUGCCUGUUCGAGCGUCAUCUACACCCUCAAGCUCUGCUUGGUGUUGGGCGUCUGUCCCGCCUCUGCGCGUGGACUCGCCCCAAAUUCAUUGGCAGCGGUCUUUGCCUCCUCUCGCGCAGCACAUUGCGCUUCAGAGGGGUGUGGGCCGCGUCCACGAAGCAACAUUAUCGUCUUUGACCUCGGAUCAGGUAGGGAUACCCGCUGAACUUAAGCAUAUCAAUAA